rnacentral:sRNA from 1 species
UCGAACAGUUAUUGCCGAUUGCUCAACC